AGCCACCUCCAAAAACCCCCCUCUCUCAAACUCUCUUGAAGGUUCUUGAAACCCUAGACUCUCUCACCAUCUUCAAGCACAGUCUCACCGAAAUUCAUGGACUCUCUGGCCAUGGAUGGAUUGAACCCAUCUCUCUCCGCUCUUAAAAACUUGGUGUUCUAAUUUUUGAGGUCUGACCUUGAUGAUGUCCAUUCAGAUCUUCUCCCUUUCAAGGUUCUAUGGCCUCUCCGGCCUUGCUCCGGCAUUUCAAGCAUUACGAGCCUAUCUCUGACUUUUCCGACCAAGAUCGGACCUUUUCAAAGCCUCUCUCGUUUUAGGGUUCUUUUGAAAUCCUAGCUACUCAAGGUUUUCUCUAAUUUUUUUCAUAUUUUUUAUGUAUCUGUGCGCUACUAGAGUUUGUAAAUGUUUUUCCCUAAUUUUUCUUUCAAAAUUAUCCUUUAAAACUCCUUCCCUUCUAUUUAGGGUUUUCUGUAAGGUUCAAAAUGUUUCUCUGACUUAUCUUUUCCUUUCUUUGUGUGUAUUUGUCACGCAUGUGUUCCUACUGUUUUCUUAUGCUUUCUUUCUACCCUACAUGAUUCUUCUGUGCUUUGUUUUUCUACUGUGUUCCUAGACCAUGCUCGUAUGUUUAUCUUGCUAUGUUUCCCUAUGUGUUCUUUUGCUAGGCUUUUCCGAUAUCCUUGUGUUCCUCUACUGUAUUUUCUAUUAAGUUUUUAGUUCUUUAUUUUCCUUCUGCUGGACCUUGUUUGAUUUCCCUUUAAACAUGUUUUUCCUACUAAUUUCUUAAGUGUUAUACUAUCUCUUUUCUCUUCUGAACUUGUUUAAGUCCCGGUUUUUUCUUUAAUAUGUUCCUUCUACUCUCACUAUGCUUCAAAUCGAUUUCUUCACUCUGUUGUUUCGAACUUGCUAUUGUGUCUGUUUGCUUUCUCAUGAGUUUCUGAAAGAGAUCUCUAAGCCUGUUUCAAUUACUUGCCUCCUCAUUUCUGUAUCUGAUUCGAAGCGGAAACCCUAGAAUUUGGGGGGUUUUGACAAGGUUUAGUCAGGUGUUUGAACUGGGGUUAUAUUUUUGAACCCUUGACUCUUUAGACUCAUUCUGGGUCUAUGAGCUAAGUUUGAAUUUCUUUAUUUACAACUCUGAACUUUUUCUACGCUAGACUCACCUAUUGAUUAGCAUUAUAGUUCUUCGUGCUUAAGCAUGACUGUAUGUUUUUAUAUAUGUGAUUAAUUCUUUCUUCCGAAAAGGUUUUACAACUUAUGAUUGAUUCAGAAUCCUUUUUUAGGUUUGAUUGAUUGUUAUUGAUUUUUCUUAAGUAAACCUUUCUUCACCUUUUCUUAUUGGAUUCAUCCAUACCAAAAUUCAAGCCUUGUGAUUUACUGGCUGUUAAAUGAUUUUCUUUCCUUAUUUGCACUGACCGUGUGCUAUCAGACUUUUUCCUUAAAUAAAUCUCUGUCUAUUUACCCUUCUUAUACUGCUUUGGAAAAGAUUUUGAUCAAUCUAUUUCCUUAAUCAUUUUUACCCGUUUGAAAUUAGAAUCCCUUAAUUAAAGGGAAACUUUUAUAAUUGAUUUUAAAAUUAUUCUCCUACCUUAUUCUGCUUGCCUUCUACACUAUAAAAAGGGCACGACUCCUUUCUCACUAGGACACCUUGAAUUCGACACUUUCAGACACUUUCAAAUUACACAGUUUUCAAUUCAACAGUUUUAUACUACUCAAGUAUCGUAGUUCUCUAAUCAUUUUCUGACUAUUGCUUGCACUUUGGUUUUACAAAACUACUGCUCCCUUUUCUUGUUCCCCUGAAACUGGUAUGUUCUAGUUUUGGUUUUCAGCCUCAUCCCAAUAUGUUUAUUUUAUACACUCCUGUCUACUGUCUAUGUUCAAUUUUGUUUAGCAUGUUCUUUGCAUAUGUUUCUACUGUGAAUCCCUGCACCCUUGUUCCCCUCUAUGUGCUUUAAGUUGAAGUCUGGAACAUGGCAAUAUGCAAGUUAUUGCUCAUGUUUGGACUUGAUCCCCUGUGAGGAUCCUGAUUCUCAAAUAAUGUGGCCUAACAGGCUGGUAGGGUGUGCCGGCAGUUCAAUUGCUAGGUAUGACCAUUACCCUAUCUUUAUUUCCUCUCAGAAUCCCUCUCUGCACUUACACUCUCUCUUAGCUUUUAAGUUCUGCCCCCCCUCCUGUGAGCCAUGCUUUGGAACCUUGAGUUCACUCUGAACUUGGACACUUGAGGGCUGGCUCUUCCACACCGCACUAUGAUUCAUUUCUGCAAUAUAUUUGGUUGUGAGGACUGCCCGGAGUCCAUUUGAGACUCUUAGGACACUAUGACAUAUCCCAAAUAAGAGAAAGGCUUUGGAAUUUGAUCUUUGGAGAUUGGUUUACUUCAUACUUCAGAUAGGAAGUGUGAAUCUGGCUCUCCUUGGUUGUAAUUUUAGUUCUCUAAUGUAAUUUUUACUUUUCUUAUUCAUCCUAGGCUGUUAUAAUGACUUGUAAUAACUAUUGGGGCUGUUAGUGAAAACGGGAGGGUCAAUCAUGCAUGCAAAAGGGUAGAUAUCAUGUUCAUAGGGAAUAUUUACACUUCUAAACUCAUGCAUCCUGUUUUCAGCUUGCACUUUUCCCUCUCAUAUAGGGACCAUGUCUAUAGGCUUCUGCACUUUUGCAUCUCAUAUAGAGACCAUGUCUAUAGGUUUCUGUACUUCUGCAUUAUAUCGAGAUCAUGUCUAUAAGUCAUUUCUGAAAUGAUGUAUAUCACAUAGAUAUUAUGCCUUUAGGACUUCCUGAAUUUUACAUAUGCAUAUUUCACUAGGCAAACCUGUUCAUAUGUUUAAAUAACAAGCAAAAUUCUAGAUACCAUGCCUGUAGGACUUCUGCACUCUUAUUUCGGGUAUAAUAAAGUGUUUAAAAUCAGCAAUGCCUAGAAAGCAUGCCUAUAUGAGAAACCAACGAAAUCAGAAUCAUUCAUCCGCUUAUAAGUCUAAAAUCAGUAGCAGUAAUGCUCAACAUCUGCAAAAUUUAUGGUUCUAUAACUAAUAAGUCCUUUUCUUUAAAAUCAGUAUACGUGUUUUUUGAGCUAAUAGAUACCAUGCCCAUGGGUUUCAUUUAACACUUUGGCAAGGCCAUAAGGUAACUUGUAAAUCGAAUUAGAUGCUUAGCUACAACCAUCAGGCAUGCCUAAUUCGGAUUUCUUAUCUGAAAUAAGUAAUAGACCGGUCUGCCACAACUCCUAAGUUUAAUCAGACCCUAAUCAGUACGUGUAAGGCAUGCUAAAUUAUAUGCUUCUCUUUGUUUUAAGGAGGUUUGUUUGACCAUUUCUAUCUGUUAUAUGCUUCUCGCCCAUAUUUGUUUCAUAUGUGUUUUUAUUGUCGCAUUAGAAUUUUAUCCUUUGAAACUAUAAGACCUCACACCCUUCCCUUUAGGAUUAAUAGUCCCAAAUAUCUCCGGGACUAAUAGGAUCGGGACGGGUAAUAUCAUGCAAUAAGUAAAGCGAGACCAUUCCGCGUUUAAUAACUUAACGGGUGGGAAAUGGUAGCUAUGGAUAUGAUGACCACACGAUAACACCAUAUGUAUAAAUGGUUAUCGUGUGUUGUGUGGGGUGAUUCAUAUUAUUUAUAAACCAAGGACCCCCUUCCUUUACUUGUUUGUUUUAUUCAGAGUUUCAUAAUUGCUUUUCUCAAAUUUCAACUUCUUUGACUGCUUUUAACUUCAAUUACUUGCAACAAUCAUGUGAAAUUUCUUUCUUUUUACCCGUUUAUUUUGAGUCUCAAAAGUGCUUUUCUUCUCAAAUUUCUGCUUCUUUAACUUCAUUUUAACUUCAAAUUACUUACAAUAAUUAUGUGAAAAACCCCUCAUAUUUGUAACUUUUACUUGUCCACUUGUUGUUUGCACUUAAAGUUGUAACUAAAGUGUGGCCGGGAACCACACUAGUGGAUCUUGAGGAGUGCCUAACACCUUCCCCUCGUGAUAAUUUCAAGCCCUUACCCGAUCUUUGGUUUUCUAAAUCAAAGUUCCUCUUAGUGUCCUAAUACAUUUAAUCAUUGGGUGGCAACUCUUCAAAGCCAUUUCUCAAACAGAAACGAGCUGUCCUCCCAAUUAUCAUAAACGCGAUUUCACAAGAAAAAGGGGGCAUCAAUAGCGUAGCGACUCUCUUUAAGGCUUUUACCAUUUCAUGCUAUUUGAGACUUUAUGCUUCUUUAUAUAUCUUUAUUUGUUUAAAUGCCUUUAAGUAUUUUUUCCCUCUUCUACCUCGAAAUUGACUUGUCUCUUUGUUUCUUUUCCUUAUUUCUCUUAAUAUUUUCCUUUAUUGCUUUCCUUUUAUACUAUUGUAAAUUAGGAGAAAUUGUUGUAAUUAUUACUUUAUGAACGUGCAAAAAUGUGACAACUUAUUUUAAUUAUUGCAACUGCAUAUUCAACAUCAUAUUCUACUCGUGCCAAAGAAAAAUACUAUAGCAACGCUUAUAAUGAGUGGUUGCUCCCUUCCUAUAUUAUCACCCCUAAAUCCAGUAAAGGCAUAUUUGCGGUAAAACCAGUCGAUCAACGGUAUAGUCGGUGGUUCUGUGCCUUUCCCUUUUGAGUUGUCCGCUCAAGGGUACCAGUCUAAAACCCCAUAGAAACCUUUUGUAUUUAAAUUAUGCAUGCAUCAUGGUCAAACCUAGCCGAAUCAGUUAUGUUGUCCGCAUAAUGACUAUUUAAUAUAGCCUUGUCCAAAGUCCACCGGGUUUUUCCAAAACCUAAACGGACGCUACCAUAUUUUGUGCAUUUAUUUGGAGAACUAAAUGCUUGUAUGUCAAUUAUUGGUAUUUAAUAGUCGUGUCUGGUGGAGGUAAGGGGCCUAACACUUUUAUCUAGCAGAAAUAUGAGGCACGAAGUCCCCAGAUUCGGCAUGGUCACCAAUAUCCACCCCAAAUUGCAAGUUGGUGCGAAGAUCUUCACUCAAGUGAUCAGGCUCUUGUCAGAAAAUAUCUACAGAAUAUACCUUCUCUCCUUGAAAUUAAACCCAACAACAAAAUCAUAGAAGCUGCCACUCUAUUCUGGGAUUGUGAUAGGUCCAUGUUCUGCUUUGGAGACAUUGCAAUGACACCCCUGCUAGAGGAAAUAAGAGGACUAGCUGGUAUACCGUGGGAAACUCUGAGUCUGUUAAUGCCAGAAAAUCGCAAGGGUAGAGGUUUUCUCAAGAUGAUAUGCCUAAAGAAGAAUCCAGACUUAACUUGCUUGAAGGAGUCGUACAUUCCCUUUGAUUAUUUGUACGAGAGGUACAGUCACAAUAAAUCUUACCAUGCUUAUCCUGAUGAAUUUUCCCUCACAUCGUUGGGGCAUAUCCAUCAGAGGGUCUUUGUCUUUGUGUUCUACUUAUUGGGGAUGAUAGUAUUCCCCAUGAAUAAAGCAAGGAUCUAUACCCGAUUAGCCAUGGUCACCAAAACCUUAAUGGAGGGAAUUGGUGGGCAACCAUUUAGCAUAGUGCCCAUGAUCAUCACAGAUAUAUACCGAGCCUUGAAAAAAUAUCAAUAGGGAGUCAAACACUUCGAGGGUUUCAACUUGCUACUCCAACUCUAGCUCAUGGAACACCUCCGAAAGGGAGAGUAUCGACAGGAGAUUCAACGUAGGGACUAGGAUGAUCAUAUAGCCUUCCAUCAGCCAACGAGGAUGAACUACAUGCCCAACAUGUUUUCUCAGCUGGAAGAUGCCAAAGGAUGGGUAGAACUGUUUGAAAAUAUUAAAGAGGACCGAGUAUAAUGGAUGCCUGAAUGGUUCCCUAUUGAAGAUUUCAUUGCUCGAUCUCGGGAUGAACCAUUUCUAAUACUUAUUGGUUUGAGGGAAACUUACUGUUAUGUCCCUCUUCGAGUUAUGAGACAGGCUGGUAGGAAGCAUGUUAUACCAAGGGUUGACAAGAUGAGUCAUUUCUGGGCCGAGUUUCAAGAUGAUGAUAGCCCUUACAAGUGCCAAACUCAACAUAUAUGGCACUGCAAAAUCGUCAUGGGAAGGGACACUAUAGAGCUAAACAGGUACCAUGCUGAUUAUAUUCAAUACUAUCCCAGCUGGUUAGAAGACAAUCAUAAUGGUCUGGGUUAACCCGGGUUUGCUCGAGGUCACAGGAUCAUCGAUGAAAAAGCUGAAGCACAAGUCAAGUACAGCCAAUUGCACCAGAGGAUUCGGGAAUGCGAAAAUGAGCAUCGUGAAAUUCAAUAAGCCAACCAAAAGUUGAUUGAAGAAUGGAAAGACAUGGCUGUCAGUGCCAACAAACGACUGCGGUACUUAGAGUGGGGUUUCGUAAAGCUGGAAUGGAAAUUCGUUAGAAAGGUCGAGGACUACCAGAAUGCUAAGGGAAAUGAAGAUGGGCACCUACUUAGAACCUGCUUACUGUUGGGACUUCACGAGCUGGUACAAUUGUUCGAGGGAGCCAAAGAUGCCGAGUCUGGCGAAGGUCCUUCUAGGACCAAUUAGAUAGGAUUUUACCUUUUCCUUUAUGGAUACAAUAAGGCCAACGACCAUUACUGACAUUUUAUUUCCUGUUAUUUAGUGUAGUUUUGGGGUUCGUCUUUUUUUUUUUAUCAAUAAAAUGAGGCAUUUAGCAUUGUAAGUUCUCCAAAUCAAUUUGUCGAUAGGCCUACCUUAGGCACAAUGAGGUCCCUAAAAUUAGGACGCGCUCUAUAUUUCUUGCACUACGUGUUUAAAUAUUGCAACAUUUUUCUUCCUUAUGAUCCUUACUGACUUAUCACCUUUUUAUUUUUACUUUUUGUUUAUUCCCCUCCCCAAAGGUUAGUUCGUGAACUCUAGCAACGACAACAUAUUUUACAAGAUCUAGGGGCCCUCCACC
rnacentral:lncRNA from 1 species